GGUGCUCUCCCAGCUGAGCUACGGCCCCUAAAUCAGAAUAAAGCGUUUAAAACGAUCAAAAGAGGGAUUACAAAAUCUAUAUAACUCAAAGCGAUAUGAUUGAACCGAUAGUUUCAUAUAGGCAUUGACGUCUAUGAGCAUUUGGAAUUUAUAUCAACCAAAUGGACGCUGUAAAAAUCACUUUGCAAGGAAUUUUGACUCCUUAGUAUUUAGCAUUUGAACUGUUUUUUUGCCAUUAAUUUGCUUUAACUUUGGAUUACUCACACAAAAGCAAUAAGCCUGCCAAUUUUGAUAAGCUUUUUAGAAGCAAUCUUUUUAGAAGUACUUAUUUUUUAAAAGCACUUAUGAAAGUAAUGGAUAAACUGGUGGGCCUGGGAGGACUUGAACCUCCGACCUCACGCUUAUCAAGCGCGCGCUCUAACCAACUGAGCUACAAGCCCUCCGGGAUAAACCGGAAAACCUUCCCCGGCAUCCUCUUAUAAAACGCUUAAAUUUUAUCAAGGAAAGCGUUUUUCAAAGCCCACGGUGGACUUGUUU
rnacentral:misc_RNA from 1 species